GGUAUUUUGACUAUACAAAGGUAUUGUAAUAAGACUUUAAUUGAGUGCUAAAAGAAUGGACUUUCAAAAAAAUACUUUCUUGAAUUUAAUAAUUGAAUUUAUUUUUAUUUGUGAAGAAACAAUAAUUAACAUUAAGGACAAGAAGACCCUAAGAAUUUUUGAGUUUAACUAAAAAAACUUUUUUAGUUAAAUUCUUAAUUGGGGCGAUUAAAAAAUAUUUUUAACUUUUUUUAAAAAAAAAAUGACCCAUUAAUAAUGAUUAAUUGUAUUAAAUACUCUAGGGAUAACAGCGUAAUAAUUUUAGAUAGAUCGUAUAGAAAAAAUAGUUUGCGACCUCGAUGUUGGAUUAGGAUUUCUAUUUAAUGCAGAAGUUAAAAAUAGAAAGUUUGUUCAACUUUUAAAAUCCU
rnacentral:rRNA from 1 species